GACGAACCGUGCGAACGUUGUUCGGAUUCACUGGGCUUAAAGGGCGCGUAGGCGGGCGGUCAAGUCGGGGGUGAAAUCUUUCAGCUUAACUGGAAAAGUGCCUCCGAUACUGAUCGCCUCGAGGGAGGUAGGGGCAUGUGGAACUUCCGGUGGAGCGGUGAAAUGCGUAGAUAUCGGAAGGAACGCCGGUGGCGAAAGCGACGUGCUGGACCUCUUCUGACGCUGAGGCGCGAAAGCUAGGGGAGCGAACGGG
rnacentral:rRNA from 1 species